rnacentral:rRNA from 1 species
AUCUAAACUGUUCCGUAGGUGAACCUGCGGAAGGAUCAUU